rnacentral:rRNA from 1 species
CGGGGCGCUGCAGCAGUGAGGAAUAUUGCACAAUGGGGGGAACCCUGAUGCAGCAACGCCGCGUGGAGGAUGACGCAUUUCGGUGUGUAAACUCCUUUUAUAUGUCAAGAAAAUGACGGUAGCAUAUGAAUAAGCACCGGCUAACUCCGUGCCAGCAGCCGCGGUAAUACGGAGGGUGCAAGCGUUACUCGGAAUCACUGGGCGUAAAGGACGCGUAGGCGGGUUGGAAAGUCAGGUGUGAAAUCCUACAGCUUAACUGUAGAACUGCACUUGAAACUUCUAAUCUAGAGUAUGGGAGGGGGAGAUGGAAUUAGUGGUGUAGGGGUAAAAUCCGUAGAUAUCACUAGGAAUACCUAAAGCGAAGGCGAUCUCCUGGAACAUUACUGACGCUAAGGCGUGAAAGCGUGGGGAGCAAACAGGAUUAGAUACCCCGGUAGUC